ensembl:snRNA U6 U6 spliceosomal RNA
GGGCUCACUUCAGCAACACAUGGCUAAAACUGGAAGAAUAAGAAGAUGAGCAUGGCUCCUUUGCAAGGAUGACACAUAAAUUUAUGAAGCAUUCCAUAUUAAA